rnacentral:rRNA from 1 species
AAGUAGAAAGACGUGUAAGGAGGGAGGACGUUGUCUCGUUCUUGGAGUGAAGUUAGGCGAACGGGGUAGGAGUAACGGACGUAGGUAAACCGUUCGCCCGGGUACGCGGGGGAGUAACGUAAUUGGUAAACGAUAGCUAAUACCGACAUAAGAGUAGAUGUUGUCAUGACAUUUGCUUAAAAGGUAGCAAUUGCAUCACUACCAGAUGGACCUGCGUUGUAUUAGCUAGUUGGUGGGGUAACGGCUCACCAAGGCGACGAUACAUAGCCGACCUGAGAGGGUGAUCGGCCACACUGGGACUGAGACACGGCCCAGACUCCUACGGGAGGCAGCAGUAGGGAAUCUUCGGCAAUGGACGGAAGUCUGACCGAGCAACGCCGCGUGAGUGAAGAAGGUUUUCGGAUCGUAAAGCUCUGUUGUAAGAGAAGAACGAGUGUGAGAGUGGAAAGUUCACACUGUGACGGUGUCUUACCAGAAAGGGACGGCUAACUACGUG